GUGGGGAAUAUUAGGCAAUGGGCGAAAGCCUGACCUAGCAACGCCGCGUGAAGGAAGAAGGCCUUCGGGUUGUAAACUUCUUUUAUGAGGGACGAAGGACGUGACGGUACCUCAUGAAUAAGCCACGGCUAACUACGUGCCAGCAGCCGCGGUAAUACGUAGGUGGCGAGCGUUGUCCGGAUUUACUGGGUGUAAAGGGCGCGUAGGCGGACUGGCAAGUCAGAUGUGAAAUACAGGGGCUCAACCCCUGAACUGCAUUUGAAACUGUUGGUCUUGAGUAUCGGAGAGGCAAGCGGAAUUCCUAGUGUAGCGGUGAAAUGCGUAGAUAUUAGGAGGAACACCAGUGGCGAAGGCGGCUUGCUGGACGACAACUGACGCUGAGGCGCGAAAGCGUGGGGAGCAAACAGGAUUAGAUACCCUGGUAGUCC
rnacentral:rRNA from 1 species